CAAACAAGCUGGUAAGAUGCCUCAGUCCCUGAAAAACUAAGGCGGUCCCCUACAAGGUAAAACCGCAAGCUUUGUUUUACAUUGCUGGUUCUGUGGAGACUUAACACUGCUUGCUUCACACUCCGCGAUUCUCAACCAAACGACUUCAGCAGGAAGAUCGAAGGCGGCUCACGAGGUUCAGAGGAACUCGAAGGAAGCCAAUUUGGGAGAAGGAGACAGAGAGACAGAGAAGAACUACUUGACUGUAGCUCUGUAGAUUUUGCUGCUAAGGUUGUCUGCCAGUUAGACUAGGUGUCACCCGAUUCUUCUGGAGUUCACUAAACCAGGUUGAAGUCACCCACAGAAGUCAAUGGCUAAAAAAAUAAAGCGGAAGUGGAGUAGCCCUAACUAGCGAAUGUCUGUCUGUCUGUCUGUCUGUCUGUCUGUCUGUCUGUCUGUCUGUCUGUCUC